UACGUAGGGUGCAAGCGUUGUCCGGAAUCAUUGGGCGUAAAGAGCUCGUAGGCGGUCUGUCGCGUCGGCUGUGAAAACCCGGAGCUCAACUCCGGGCCUGCAGUCGAUACGGGCAAACUGGAGUACUGCAGGGGAGACUGGAAUUCCUGGUGUAGCGGUGAAAUGCGCAGAUAUCAGGAGGAACACCAAUGGCGAAGGCAGCUCGCUGGGACGGUAUUGACGCUGAGACGCGAAAGCGUGGGGAGCAAACAGG
rnacentral:rRNA from 1 species